CCCUAGUUGUGCAGCUCCCAGUUGAUCUUAUCUUUUCUUCCCUUUCAAGUUAUUGUUAAAUCGUGGAGUUAGUCCUCUGCCUGGUUACCUGGUAGAUUGAUGUGUAAUGAGACGAGGCUUACGCGCUGGGAAGGGGAAUGGGUGCUACCCCUGGCGUCUGGGAACAAUAUGUACUGCGUUUGGGAAGCGCUCACGCCGUGGAGGUGCAGUGGUCAAAGGGGUUUGGCAGUGACGGACUAUUCACAACUGAAGUGAUCAAAUCUUAAGGAGUCCAGCUGUGCGGAUGGAGAGAAGCUGGGAAUGGAGGUUAGGGUUGCACAGUCUAGGCGCCUCCUUUCACAGUCUAGGAAGUCAGAGCUGGUAACCCUCGAACAAGGAGGGUCUGCGAAGUUUGCUAAUCUCGACCUUCACAACUCAUGGAAGACUAAGAGCAUUCUUGAGCACCCAAACAAAACAAGGUGUUUUUCUUCAAUUUUUUUUGUUUUUUAUAUAUAUAUAUAUGCAGGAGAGAGAAAGAGAUUGUGAAAUGGCUUUAUGGCAUAGGAUGAAGGAGAGAAAAAGAAGGCUGAAGAAAAAGCCUCUUACGAAUUAGUAUUCGCUUUUGCUCAAUUUUGAAGGCAAACUUGUUUACUCGGGAGAGGAAAAAAUGAAUUCAUUGCAACAAAUUCAUUUUGGCACAGUUGGCGAAAAAAAAAAAGAGAGCGGCCAUCGGGGAGCGGCUGCUGAGUCACUGAUUAAGAGGAAUAGAAGAGGAUUAUAGGGUAACAUUCGUGUGUCGACAAUCAAUGUUCCACGUUCAUUUUGAGAGUUUUAAUAGAAUGCAGGUAAGAAUUACGGAGCACCACGUCAUCAUAUCAUCAUCAAUGUCCGGGACCUGGCACCACCUUAGUCCGUUAGUGGGAGCAAAAGAACACACAUACUGACAUACAUAAGAUUUGGGAAUUCUUAUUUCUUAAUGUGUCUGAUACUCAUUGCUUCCCCUUCUCCUGCCUCAGGCGAUUUGGGAGCGACAAGCUACUACGGUCCGCCAUACUUUCACACGGCAUGUUACGGCGACGACAUCUCCCAGUUCCCGCCGAACAUGCUUUUUGCCGCGGCGGGCGAGGAGAUUUGGAUCAACGGCAUGGCGUGUGGUCGUAUUUACUGGGUGAAGUGUAUAAGUUCUAAUUUCCCGAACACAGCAUGUGCACAAGGCCAGAUGAUUGAAGUUGUAAUUGUUGAUCGGGCACAAACCUCUGUUUCUCGUCCUGCCUGGUCAGGAACCACUAUGGUUCUUUCCGUCCCUGCUUUUACUGCAAUUGCUGGUACCCCUGUUCCAUGGGUAGAAAUUGAAUAUAAACAGAAAUGAUCAAAUUAAGGAGGGAGUUUGAUUCGGAUGAGUACUACUUGUGAGACCGUUUCAGCUUUUGAGUAUCGAAGAUUGUCCAAUUUUGGAUGGCUUGAUUUGGUUUUGAGGCCUUAAAACAGUUCUUCUAAGUUAUUCUUGUGGUUUGUUCAGGUGUAUCAACAUUUAAGAUAUGCAGAUGGGUUUUUUUUCCCUUAUUAAGGUUGCCAUCAUUACAGGCGGAUAAUUAGCUUUUUGAUUGUAAUUUUUUAAAGUUUAAAAACUUAAUUGCAACAAGUGGCACGAAAUUGCUUUCCCAAAUGGGAGGUCAUGGGUUCGAGCUUCAGUGGGUGGCAUUGACUCUUUGUGUUUCAGUAGGUUGAGAAAGUAGUUAUAAACAAAUACUACAUUGUAACAUAGUCAGUAGUAUUAAAAAAAACUUAAUUGCUUUUUCAUGUAUUAGUAUGAUGAAAGACUUUUUUGAUUCUGUUCUCCUUUAA